rnacentral:rRNA from 1 species
AUUGAACGCUGGCGGCAUGCCUUACACAUGCAAGUCGAACGGUAACGGGCCUUCGGGUGCCAACGAGUGGCGAACGGGUGAGUAAUACAUCGGAACGUGCCCGAUCGUGGGGGAUAACGAGGCGAAAGCUUUGCUAAUACCGCAUACGAUCUACGGAUGAAAGCAGGGGACCGCAAGGCCUUGCGCGGACGGAGCGGCCGAUGGCAGAUUAGGUAGUUGGUGGGAUAAAAGCUUACCAAGCCGACGAUCUGUAGCUGGUCUGAGAGGAUGAUCAGCCACACUGGGACUGAGACACGGCCCAGACUCCUACGGGAGGCAGCAGUGGGGAAUUUUGGGCAAUGGGCGCAAGCCUGAUCCAGCCAUGCCGCGUGCAGGAUGAAGGCCUUCGGGUUGUAAACUGCUUUUGUACGGAACGAAAAGCCUUCUUUUAAUACAGGAGGGUCAUGACGGUACCGUAAGAAUAAGCACCGGCUAACUACGUG